rnacentral:rRNA from 1 species
AUGAGUCUACUUUUUUGAAAUUGCCGGGGUGGGGGGAAUCGCCGGACAGUUCGUGAGGUGUUGGCCCUCACAAAGACCAACGUCCCCAAGUUUGUAUUUUUAAGUGAGACUAGGCAAACUAAAGAGAAGAUGGAGAAGCUUAAAUGGAGACUGGGUUUGAAGGGUUUCAGUGGUGUUAGUAGUAAUGGAAGAAGCGGAGGUUUGGCCCUAUUU